AGCACAUAUACCAAAGUUGGAAUGAAGCAGAGAGGAUUAGCAUGGCCCCUGUAUAAGGAUGACACUCAUAUCCAUGAAGCAUUCCAUAUUUU
rnacentral:snRNA from 1 species